CCUACGGGAGGCAGCAGUGGGGAAUAUUGCACAAUGGGGGGAACCCUGAUGCAGCGACGCCGCGUGGGUGAGGAAGUACUUCGGUAUGUAAAGCCCUAUCAGCAGGGAAGAAAAUGACGGUACCUGACUAAGAAGCCCCGGCUAACUACGUGCCAGCAGCCGCGGUAAUACGUAGGGGGCAAGCGUUAUCCGGAUUUACUGGGUGUAAAGGGAGCGUAGACGGCGUGCCAAGUCUGAUGUGAAAGGCCGGGGCUCAACCCCGGGACUGCAUUGGAAACUGGCAGGCUGGAGUGCCGGAGGGGCAAGCGGAAUUCCUAGUGUAGCGGUGAAAUGCGUAGAUAUUAGGAGGAACACCGGUGGCGAAGGCGGGUUGCUGGACGGUAACUGACGUUGAGGCUCGAAAGCGUGGGGAGCGAACAGGAUUAGAUACCCUUGUAGUC
rnacentral:rRNA from 1 species